GACGAACGCUGGCGGCGUGCUUAACACAUGCAAGUCGAACGAAGUGGCGAACGGGUGAGUAACGCGUAAUCAACCUGCCCUUCAGAGGGGGACAACAGUUGGAAACGACUGCUAAUACCGCAUACUGAAGGAGGGGAUUGCGUCUGAUUAGGUGGUUGGAGGGGUAACGGCCCACCAAGGCGAUGAUCAGUAGGCGGUCUUGGAUGAUGGACGGCCACAAUGGGACUGAGAAACGGCCCAGAAUGCUACGGGAGGCAGCAGGGGGGAAGCUUCCGAAAUGGACGGAAGGCUGACGGAGCAACGCCGCGGGAGUGAUGACGGCCUUCGGGUUGUAAAGCUCUGUUAAUCGGGACGCGGUACCGGAAUAGAAAGCCACGGCUAACUACGUGCCAGCAGCCGCGGUAAUUC
rnacentral:rRNA from 1 species